GGAUGUAAGGGCAAUCUGACUGCAACAUCUGUCACCCCAGUGAUCGCCAGGGUUGACUGGGCUGAUUUGGCUGGCUAGGCGGGUGUCCCCUUCCUCUCUCACCGCUCCAUGUGCGUCCCUCCCGAAGCUGUGUGCUCGCUUGCUCGGUGGGAGAGGACGGCCUUCCAUAAAUAGAGAGGGACCGGUCUUCACUCCCCUGCUGGAACCUCCAAACAAGCUCUCAAGGAUUGUCCAAAACCAGAAGAAAUUGAUGUAGGUGGCAUGUGUCAUGGCAUCAGUGUUCAAACAGAA
rnacentral:sRNA from 1 species